rnacentral:rRNA from 1 species
GACGAACGCUGGCGGCGUGCUUAACACAUGCAAGUCGAACGGAAAGGCCUGCUUUCCCUUGUGGAUUGCGGGUACUCGAGUGGCGAACGGGUGAGUAACACGUGAGUGAUCUGCCCCCAACUUGGGUAUAAGCCUGGGAAACUGGGUCUAAUUCCCGAUAGGACUGCAGGGUGGUGCCUGUGGUGGAAAACGAUUUUCUAGUGGUUGGGGAUGAGCUCGCGGCCUAUCAGCUUGUUGGUGGGGUAAUGGCCUACCAAGGCGGCGACGGGUAGCCGGCCUGAGAGGGUGGACGGCCACAUUGGGACUGGGAUACGGCCCAGACUCCUACGGGAGGCAGCAGUGGGGAAUAUGACACAAUGGGCGGAAGCCUGAUGCAGCGACGCCGCGUGGGGGAUGACGGCCUUCGGGUUGUAAACUCCUUUCGACCGCGAGGAAGCCACCUGGUUGGAAGGGUGGUGACGGUAGUGGUAGAAGAAGCACCGGCUAACUACGUG